GUCAGUUGCUGCUGGUUGCCCAAGGAGAGAGGACUGUGUUCUUAGCAGGCUACAGGAAGUUAGCACUUUGGACAAGCAGUUGCUGGCAGGGACCCAGGCAGCAAGAGGGAGCUCCAGGCUGGCUCCUGAGACUUACAGGGGCUGUGGGGAAGUGACCCAUGGAACUGAAGUAACUCUAGCGGAGAAGUUAAGGAGAAGCAACAGGAGGCUGCUUUUGACAGGGUCCCUCGGCCGGGACCUGGAGUAGUAGGCAGGCCCAGGUCUCCCCCUCUUGCUACUGGGAAAGUGGCUGGACUAUAGAUACUCUUUCCCUCCUCCCUUGAAGGGGAAAAAACGCAGAUGUGACACAGCCAGAUGGCCAAGUCAUGAAGAGGAUGCUGCAGUUCCUGGACUGAGGCAAGUCUGCAGCUGUCAUGCUCAUGAAUCCAAGACCUGGGACUUGAAGAAAAGCCUGAAAUGAGACAUGCAAUGAAAUCAUGAGUCAGCAGCACUUUGCCCCAGUGCCUUCCCUGGAAUUUGUGGCAACAAACAAGCAUAACAGGUUUGCUCAAAUGCUUCGUAUGUGUGCGGAAGUGACUGGGGUGUUUCAUGUCCCGAUUCUUUUAAGAAGAGAGGCACAAGAACUGCUUUGAUUUUUUUCUCCUCUCUUCUGUUUGCAAACAGAAAUAACAACGAUAAUAAUAAAAACAUGAGUUCAGCCUCAGAGGUGAUAGAAUAAACAUUUCAUUUACAGUCAGCAUGUUUGAGAAUAUGAAGAUGAUCCUCAAUUUUCUAGGUGUAAUUUGCAUAGACCACUGGGCAGUUGCACCAAAAUUGCUAUAUUACUGGAGACUGUCACUCACUUGAGAUUUUCUUUUACCCUUUUGUCUAUGAGCAGAGCAAGAUAAUUGAUGCAGUUAUAAGAAGAAAAAGGCACCACAAAAGAGAAGAGCUCAAAACUGCAUUUUAAAACAGUUUGGUUAAAGCAUUCAUAGAAUAAUUUAGCUGGCAUGGGAAGAGCUUUUGUGUUUGUUUUUUGCAUCUCACAAUGCCCUUUGAGAGGAUGACACUGAUAACUUUAACACCAGUGUGCGCUGUUAUGUCAUAAUUUUUUGCUUUUGUUUUAGUAUUUUAAAGUAUUUAGAUCUCAAAAGCAAAGUGUUGCAAUUACAAUUAAAAAAAAACUUUCCUCUUCUGAGAAAGGAGUAGAUCGCAUCAGAGAAAAGGCUGUGUUUUCAUUGGCUAGAGUGGCAUUGAUUAGCCCUCAGAAGCCUUUUCAUGUGUGCAUUUUUCUAUCUCUCUGUUGCACUACCGCUCUUUGAACUAUAUCCGUGGUCACCAAUUUUCUUCCCUUUUAUUUUUUCUUAGUUUUAGUUUUCUUAGGUUCUUCAACCACUACAGAUAAGACUUUUACCUUUGGCUUUAAUGAGAAUAGGAUCAGGCUAGUAAUGUAACUUCUCCUUGAGAAUGCAAGUUAAAUGUAUUUCAAACUACUGAAUCGUCAUUUAAAAAUAAAGGGCCAGGUACUCAAUGGC